AUACGUAGGUGGCGAGCGUUAUCCGGAAUUACUGGGUGUAAAGGGCGCGUAGGCGGGGAUGCAAGUCAGAUGUGAAAUACCGGUGCUUAACACCGGGGCUGCAUCUGAAACUGUGUUUCUUGAGUGUCGGAGAGGGAAGCGGAAUUCCCAGUGUAGCGGUGAAAUGCGUAGAGAUUGGGAGGAACACCAGUGGCGAAGGCGGCUUUCUGGACGACAACUGACGCUGAGGCGCGAAAGCGUGGGGAGCAAACAGGAUUAGAUACCCUGGUAGUCCACGCUGUAAACGAUGGAUACUAGGUGUAGGGGGUAUCGACUCCUUCUGUGCCGGAGUUAACACAAUAAGUAUCCCACCUGGGGAGUACGACCGCAAGGUUGAA
rnacentral:rRNA from 1 species